rnacentral:rRNA from 1 species
UACGGAGGGUGCAAGCGUUGUCCGGAUUUAUUGGGUUUAAAGGGUGCGUAGGUGGCUAUUUAAGUCAGUGGUGAAAGUCUGCAGCUCAACUGUAGAAUUGCCAUUGAUACUGAAUAGCUUGAGUAUUGAUGAGGUAGGCGGAAUUGAUAGUGUAGCGGUGAAAUGCAUAGAUAUUAUCAAGAACACCGAUUGCGAAGGCAGCUUACUAAGGAAUAACUGACACUGAGGCACGAAAGCGUGGGGAUCAAACAGG